UACGUAGGGUGCAAGCGUUGUCCGGAUUUAUUGGGCGUAAAGAGCUCGUAGGCGGUUUGUCGCGUCUGCUGUGAAAACUCGGGGCUUAACCCCGGGCCUGCAGUGGGUACGGGCAGACUAGAGUGCGGUAGGGGAGACUGGAAUUCCUGGUGUAGCGGUGAAAUGCGCAGAUAUCAGGAGGAACACCGGUGGCGAAGGCGGGUCUCUGGGCCGUAACUGACGCUGAGGAGCGAAAGCAUGGGGAGCGAACAGG
rnacentral:rRNA from 1 species